GCCUCUGUAGAUCAGUGGCAGAGCACUGGACUUGUAAACCAGGGGUCGUGAGUUCAAUCCUCACGGGAGGCG